rnacentral:tRNA from 1 species
UCGGUCGUGGUGUGGUACGCCCCGCGGCGCUGCGACCGCCCGGCGGUCUUGCAGGCGAUCAGCGACGCUCAGCACGUCGCGGCCGAG